rnacentral:pre_miRNA from 1 species
AAAAAGACAAACCCUGGAUUUCUAUUUCCAACGUUAAACUAUAUGAAAUUUUUUAUAAUUAGUAUUUUCAUUGUUGUUAGAUAAUAAAACAUGAUUAAUACAUUAUGCGUGACUUGUCUUUUUAAUUUUUUUCAUAAAUUUUUCAAAUAAGAUGGAUGGUUAAACGUUGGAUACGGAAACCCAGG